rnacentral:rRNA from 1 species
GAUGAACGCUGGCGGCGUGCCUAAUACAUGCAAGUCGAGCGAACAGACGAGGAGCUUGCUCCUCUGAUGUUAGCGGCGGACGGGUGAGUAACACGUGGAUAACCUACCUAUAAGACUGGGAUAACUUCGGGAAACCGGAGCUAAUACCGGAUAACAUGUUGAACCGCAUGGUUCAACAGUGAAAAACGGUCUUGCUGUCACUUAUAGAUGGAUCCGCGCCGCAUUAGCUAGUUGGUAAGGUAACGGCUUACCAAGGCAACGAUGCGUAGCCGACCUGAGAGGGUGAUCGGCCACACUGGAACUGAGACACGGUCCAGACUCCUACGGGAGGCAGCAGUAGGGAAUCUUCCGCAAUGGGCGAAAGCCUGACGGAGCAACGCCGCGUGAGUGAAGAAGGUCUUCGGAUCGUAAAACUCUGUUAUUAGGGAAGAACAAAUGUGUAAGUAACUAUGCACGUCUUGACGGUACCUAAUCAGAAAGCCACGGCUAACUACGUG